AACGCACAUUGCGCCCUCUGGUAUUCCGGAGGGCAUGCCUGUUCGAGCGUCAUUUCAACCCUCAAGCUCUGCUUGGUAUUGGGCGACGUCCUCCGAGGGCGCGCCUCGAAGACCUCGGCGACGGCGUCUCAGCCUCGAGCGUAGUAGUAACAUCUCGCUCUGGAGCGCUGGGCGGCGGCCGCCGGACAAUCGACCUUCGGUCUAUCACUUCCAAGGUUGACCUCGGAUCAGGUAGGGAUACCCGCUGAACUUAA
rnacentral:misc_RNA from 1 species